rnacentral:rRNA from 1 species
UACGUAGGGUGCAAGCGUUAUCCGGAAUUAUUGGGCGUAAAGAGCUCGUAGGCGGUUUGUCGCGUCUGCUGUGAAAACUGGAGGCUCAACCUCCAGCCUGCAGUGGGUACGGGCAGACUAGAGUGCGGUAGGGGAGAUUGGAAUUCCUGGUGUAGCGGUGGAAUGCGCAGAUAUCAGGAGGAACACCGAUGGCGAAGGCAGAUCUCUGGGCCGUAACUGACGCUGAGACGCGAAAGCGUGGGGAGCAAACAGG